UCAAAACUCUAAAUCUGCAAACCGAAGCUCUCAAAGAAACCUUAAUCUUCUUGUGAACCCUAAAACGAUUUGCUCUUCGCUCAAGCUUGCUUUAUCUCUUCUCUAAGCCUCUCUCUCUUACAACGCCAUUGGACAAAGAACAGUUCAAUCUUAGGAUAAGAUAUAACCAGGAUGCUAGAUCAGGGCACUGGGAUUCGGAGUAACAUAAGCAAGCAGUUCUUGGUCGUGUUCAAACUCAAGCAUGUCUUGCUCAGGUAAUGUCACCCAUGCCUCGAUCCCUUCCCCGUCCUUUGCAUCCAUUAUUAUGACCUGCACGCCCACCAUACGGCCUGCUGCCACCCAUACCGGGUUUCCCCAUCCGAAAUCGACCUCAUAUAGCGGAAAUCUGCACCAACUAGUCACUGCAUACUUGUCCAUUUCAGGACUUAGCUCACACAAUGAAUUCAACAUCACACCAAUGACCAUCUCACCGAGCUCAGCGAUAGUCCUAUUCUCUUGGGGAUUCUCCUUGAAUAUCUCAGCGAGGUCGUCCUUACUUUUCCUUAAUUUGGUAACCGUCUCUUC